rnacentral:rRNA from 1 species
AGUGAACGCUGGCGGUAGGCCUAACACAUGCAAGUCGAACGGCAGCACAGUAAGAGUUUGCUCUUACGGGUGGCGAGUGGCGGACGGGUGAGGAAUACAUCGGAAUCUACUUUUUCGUGGGGGAUAACGUAGGGAAACUUACGCUAAUACCGCAUACGACCUACGGGUGAAAGCAGGGGAUCUUCGGACCUUGCGCGAUUGAAUGAGCCGAUGUCGGAUUAGCUAGUUGGCGGGGUAAAGGCCCACCAAGGCGACGAUCCGUAGCUGGUCUGAGAGGAUGAUCAGCCACACUGGAACUGAGACACGGUCCAGACUCCUACGGGAGGCAGCAGUGGGGAAUAUUGGACAAGGGGCGCAAGCCUGAUCCAGCCAUACCGCGUGGGUGAAGAAGGCCUUCGGGUUGUAAAGCCCUUUUGUUGGGAAAGAAAAGCAGCAGGUUAAUACCCCGCUGUUCUGACGGUACCCAAAGAAUAAGCACCGGCUAACUUCGUG